GUCUCAUCCUAGCUGGUGUGCUGCUAUGAAAAAAAAAAUGGAUGCUUUAGAUACUAAUGAUACUAAUGACAAAUGGAAACUGUUGCCUUUGCCCACUGAUAAGAAAGCUAUUGGUUGCAAAUGAGUAUUUACAGUAAAGGUAAAUCCUAAUGGUUCUGUGGUUAGGUUAAAAGCACACCUUAUGGCAAAAGCAUAUGCUCAGACAUAU
rnacentral:misc_RNA from 1 species